rnacentral:tRNA from 1 species
GCCCGGGUGGCUCAGUCGGUUGAGCGUCCGACUUCAGCCCGGGUCACGAUCUCACACUCUGUGAGUUCGAGCCCCGCGUCGGGCC